GGGCUUGGAGAAGAGAAGUGACUUGCUGGCUUGCACAGUUGGGGACUGGUGGUUGAGGUGAAAGCCCUGCUGAGUGGAAUUAACUGCUGCCUCCCUGGACCUUCCCUCCCACCCAGGCCCAUGGCCUCUUGCUCCCACGCCUUUCCCUGGAGUCCUGAGAAACAAAGGCACUCAGGUGACCUUUCGUGAUGUUUCCAGAGGACUUCCCACCCUCUGGCCACUGCUUCUACUUGGUGGUUGGAGAUGUAUUUGAUGUUAACAGCAGAUUAGAAACAGGAACGGUCCACCCUCACCCUGCCCAGCCACGCUGCUGCACAUCAGCACUUCCAUGCCUCUCAUGAAGGAUCACCAGACCCUCGAGGUAAGAGCAUCUAACACAAAAGAGAGAUUCUACACCUGCCAGAAUAAAAGAGCCCGGAGGAAACAGAAAGAACAUAGAGAGCAAGAGAUAAUAUAAAAAAGAAAAUACCCUCAGAGAAAUGAGAGAAAAUAUUGCAUCCAUGACCUAAGAACAGGAUGCUAUA